rnacentral:rRNA from 1 species
GGAAUAUUGCACAAUGGGCGAAAGCCUGAUGCAGCAACGCCGCGUGAGGGAUGACGGCCUUCGGGUUGUAAACCUCUUUUAGUAGGGAAGAAGCGAAAGUGACGGUACCUGCAGAAAAAGCACCGGCUAACUACGUGCCAGCAGCCGCGGUAAUACGUAGGGUGCAAGCGUUGUCCGGAAUUAUUGGGCGUAAAGAGCUCGUAGGCGGUUUGUCGCGUCUGCUGUGAAAUCCCGAGGCUCAACCUCGGGCUUGCAGUGGGUACGGGCAGACUAGAGUGCGGUAGGGGAGAUUGGAAUUCCUGGUGUAGCGGUGGAAUGCGCAGAUAUCAGGAGGAACACCGAUGGCGAAGGCAGAUCUCUGGGCCGUAACUGACGCUGAGGAGCGAAAGCAUGGGGAGCGAACAGGAUUAGAUACCCGGG